GACGAACGCUGGCGGCGUGCUUAACACAUGCAAGUCGAGCGGAAAGGCCACUUCGGUGGUACUCGAGCGGCGAACGGGUGAGUAACACGUGAGUAAUCUGCCCCUGGCUUUGGGAUAACCACCGGAAACGGUGAUUAAUACCGGAUACGACCACUUCUCGCAUGGGAUGGUGGUGGAAAGUUUUUCGGCCAGGGAUGUGCUCGCGGCCUAUCAGCUUGAUGGUGAGGUAAUGGCUCACCAUGGCUUCGACGGGUAGCCGGCCUGAGAGGGUGACCGGUCACACUGGGACUGAGACACGGCCCAGACUCCUACGGGAGGCAGCAGUGGGGAAUAUUGGACAAUGGGCGGAAGCCUGAUCCAGCAACGCCGCGUGAGGGAUGACGGCCUUCGGGUUGUAAACCUCUUUCAGUACCGACGAAGCGCAAGUGACGGUAGGUACAGAAGAAGCACCGGCCAACUACGUGCCAGCAGCCGCCGUAAUAC
rnacentral:rRNA from 1 species